GGGGAUGUAGCACAGUGGUAGAGUGCUUGCCUAGCAUAGGCAAGGUCCUGGGUUCAAUCCUAGCAUCACAA
rnacentral:tRNA from 1 species